rnacentral:rRNA from 1 species
AUUGAACGCUGGCGGCAUGCCUAACACAUGCAAGUCGAACGGCAGCGCGGGGGCAACCCUGGCGGCGAGUGGCGGACGGGUGAGGAAUGCAUAGGAAUCUGCCCGGUUGUGGGGGAUAACGUAGGGAAACUUACGCUAAUACCGCAUACGACCUUCGGGUGAAAGUGGGGGACCUUCGGGCCUCACACGAUCGGAUGAGCCUAUGCCCGAUUAGCUAGUUGGCGGGGUAAGGGCCCACCAAGGCGACGAUCGGUAGCUGGUCUGAGAGGAUGAUCAGCCACACUGGGACUGAGACACGGCCCAGACUCCUACGGGAGGCAGCAGUGGGGAAUAUUGGACAAUGGGCGCAAGCCUGAUCCAGCAAUGCCGCGUGUGUGAAGAAGGCCUUCGGGUUGUAAAGCACUUUUGUUCGGGAAGAAAUCCGUGUGGUUAAUACCCGUACGGGAUGACGGUACCGAAAGAAUAAGCACCGGCUAACUUCGUG